GCGGGAGUCGUGGCUCGGCUGUGCUGAAGCAACCACAGCGCGCCAUGAAGAUCUCCGAGACUGGCCCUGUUCGCCUAUUGGUGCUGAUGACCGCGGUCGGGGUCGUCCGGCCACUACCGGUGAGCACAUCAGCUGCUCACAACCGACCUGCUCGGAGUAGCACCUUCUCCGGUGGGAUUGCACAGCAGGCUUUUCCGUUCGACGACCGUGGCGGAAUCAAUCCGUCCAUCGGCAUCGGUGACGGCUGCGGCUCGCGUGGCACUUGCGGAGGCACGUGCUGCACUCGGCUCGGUGACGGCCUUCCCUCGGCGCCCACGUGUGAUGGCCGACUGGUGUUUGUGGCGGCCGCCGGGGGGUGCGUCGAUUGCUUGUUCCAGCCACACCCGCUCUGUCCCGGCCUGACGGCCAAUCCCUUCAAACUCAAUAUCUCAGCGGAUAGGAGAUUUUCGGCUGCUGCCUUUCCUACUCUUAACGGACAGGCUUUGCUAACUGAUUAUUGAGGCCUGCCGCAGACCGUGACACCGUUCUGUCCUCAACAGUUACCGUUGUUGAGUAUCAAUGGUUCCGGUAGACUGUAGUUGUUCAGACUCACACGCAACACAUCGAAAUACGCUUUUCGUGGAUGAAGCUGCACGGCAUGCAUACUGCACAUUAUUUUUGGGGCUUGGGCUUUGAUUGGGCUUUUUUGAAUACACGAACUCGGAGUUGUUACUGUU